AGGGACCAUAUUCCGCGCACGUUAGCCACUUGUCCGCCUGCUACUGCUGCUGUCUCUUCCUUCCUCUAAAAGAGGAGAGACUUUGGUGUUCUGCUUGUUGGCUAUGGCUUCCUUGCAACUUUAGAAACCCGACUUCUCUUCACGUUCGCUUUGUCAAUCCAAUUUCACCAGAAAAUGGAGCGAUCUAUGUCCCUCAACAGUCAACAGCCAAGGCCUUGAGGGCUUGGUCCCUCGGGCUAAAGUGCUGUUGACACUUGGAGGAACAUUUUUCUUGAAAUUUUGGCCAUUGAUCCUCAUAACUCAUAAGUCAUAACUGUGGCAUCUUUUUCUGCUCUCUACUUUAUAAGCAAUUUGACUUGACCAUCUUUCUUAUUUGAACAAGAAAACUUUAUAGAGCAUUACUUGAGUGUGUGAAACAUGUUGCCCUCACUAACUUAAUGCAGUUUGUGGAUGAUGGGAGUAAGAUGCAGCUGUUAUGUGGAUCCAUAUGAACUCCUCGACGAAGACUCUAAAUCCCAGAUUUUUACAUACAUAGCUCUUAGCUAAGAAUCUAGCUCCAUGUUGAUUUAUUUCCUUUUAUAAUGUAUAUAAAGGCAGGGUGAUGAAUCACAUUUACAUAAAUAGCUGGAAUUGAAAUUUGAAAUAUAAGCAAGCAAAAUUGGCAGAAAUCUAGAUGUCUCCCCGGAAGAAAGGAGCAGAGAGGAAGGAAGAGGAGAAAGUGCCGCCGCUGUUGGGGAAGAGGGUGAGGAAAGAGAUGAGCGCAAGGACAAUACCCCAAGCAAAUCUGGAUUCCCCGAGAGGGGUAAUCUCGUCCUUUGCAGGCAUCUCUUCUCCUCCCCUCAAGAAGGUUGCAAACAAGCCCCAUGCCAGACACAGAACGCUCCCACUCAGCCCACCGAUUCCAAGCAACAUGGACGUCCCAAAAGACAAGAUUGCAGCUGUGCUUCUCCCAAACAUGGCCUGCGCAAUGCGCCCUCCCUCUAGUCUCCCGCAUGGCAAGAGGUUCAAUGACGUCACCACCAUCCCCAACAGCCCCGCAAAUGCAAGCGGAUCCACAGGCACUCCCACGCCUUCCACCGCGUACGGCAGCACAUUCCCAAGAUCAUCCGUGUACGGCCCUAUUACCAGCUGGAUGAAUGACAGCAACGGGUUGUUGUAGAAGAACUGCGGCCUUAUGUACAGUGCAUUCUCCCCUCCAUUGAAGCUUCCAUCUGCUACGAAUGCCGCUACUGCAAGCACUAGUGAUGUCAAAUAUGCACUCGCUGUUCGGGCCACUGGAAUAUCAAACAGUGCUUUCUUGUUUGGAAGAAGGCUUUCGUAGUUGUUCAUCACUCCCAAGCACCCUGUCCAAUUUGAUGGAACCAAGAACGACGGGCUCAGUUUCACACCAUAACGAGCUGCCGUUACUCUCGUUGCUAUCUACACAUUAAGAACACAUCCAUCAUCAUCAUCAUCAAUUCGUAUACAAUAGAAUAAAAUUGACUCUUUCUUACCUCAGAAACUCCUAGAAUAGAUAAGAACCCACCAAACAAAGGUGCAACAUUAGCUAUAUAAUCAUCCAAUGUUGCGUCCGGUUUGAGGAAGAAGCCACUCAUGAGAGCAAUUGUCCCAACGGUAGUAACAGAUAAUGCAAUGGCGCUAAGAUAGCCCAAGGGAUUACUCAGCUUAGUUGACUCAAAUUGGAGAUCUAUUUCUGCUUUGGGUUGCACCACACAAGCCUGAAAAUAAUGUGUAUGAGUAUGUAUCAUGUAUGUCUACGUACAUUAGUUCAUCAAUGUGCGUGUACCUGCUUGGUACUGUCAUUUGUUUUCUCUUCCAUGAACCAAAGGACGACCUCACGGCCAGCAGCAUCGGAGAGCUUCUUCUCCAACCUGGGAAUGACUUCAUCGAUGGGUCUCCUCAAGUUGCCGAUGAAGAUGCCUCCAUCUCCGAACCUUCGAACAUCGGUUGCAAAGAAAGUGUCAAAGCCAAAGCAACUCUUCAACUGCAUUGUUAGAAGUAGCAAAAGAGCAGAGUGAGUGAGAGUCAUGCAUAAUGGCAACUUGGCAAGGGUGAUUGAGUUGCCUACCUUGUUAAGAUCAAGAGCCCUGAAGGUUUGCUCUGCUUUCUCCAACCUCUCCUUUUCCUUGGUUAGAGUAUCACGGCGUAAGGUGUUCAGAAGAGCCACAAGGGGAUUAGUAGCACCGCUUGAUUCUCUGCUUAGCUGCUUGAGCUUGGUGUCAGCCCUCUUCUUCUCAAGCUUGAUGGCGGCCUCGAUCGAAGGGUUGCCCAUGAACUUCUUGAACUCCUCAUCCGUCUUCCAAUCCGUUUCCUGUUCUUGUUUCUCCUUUUGCUCCUCAUCUUCUUCUUUGUGGCUCUCAUUGGUAGGAUUCCCAUCAGGGGAAACGGCAACCGUAGUAGCAGAGUCAGAGUCAGAGUCAGAGUUAGAGUCAGCGGAGUGGGUUUGGUGCUGGUAGUCUUCUUGUUUCAGGGAGCAGUUGAGGGGUUUCAAUAACGAAGCAUGUUUUGAGCGCAGAGAAACGGAAAGAUGGCCGUUUCGGUGGCUGAGUGGAAAAACGAAGAGGCUUCUCCCGCAUCUGCAACUGUAUCUGUAUCUGUAUGGGACCGAAGAAUAGGAAAGAGCAGAAAGAGUUGCCAUGGGUGUAGAUAGAUGAUCAUAUAGUUGAGAAUUUGGAGAUGAGGGGACAUACUUCUACUUGUGCCAAGUUUCACGUAUAUGUUGGCAAACUCCAGAAGGUUUGAGAAUUUUACAGGUGUACACUGCAAUCAACUCAGCGACAAAUUUCCACACAGCAUCUCGGAUUUUGAUGGUGACACACGCCCCACUUCAAUUGGUGGAAUUUUCAUACUAUCCGAUCAACUUCUUUACACUUAAUUAGAAAAAAUGUGGGUCCAUUCCAUUUCACUCAACUUGAAUUUUUCAUAAACCCAACUCAGAAGCAGACAAGUCCAACUACUUGUUUUUCUUUUUUUCCUUGAAACCUUUCCACUGAUUGUCCUCAAAAUGAGGUGCAUCUUAAAUCUCCAACGGACAUUAAAUCUAGUUACCUGAUUGAUUAACCGUAUAAUGUUAAUUAAUUCAGUUAGUCAUGUUAAGUGUUAAUUAAGCCAUAUCAUUGGAAACCAAACAAGACAAGGGAGUAUAUGCCUUCUAGCUA